UACGAAGGGGACUAGCGUUGUUCGGAAUUACUGGGCGUAAAGCGCGCGUAGGCGGAUUGUUAAGUCAGGGGUGAAAUCCUGGAGCUCAACUCCAGAACUGCCUUUGAUACUGGCGAUCUUGAGUCCUGGAGAGGUGAGUGGAACUGCGAGUGUAGAGGUGAAAUUCGUAGAUAUUCGCAAGAACACCAGUGGCGAAGGCGGCUCACUGGCCCGGUACUGACGCUGAGGUGCGAAAGCGUGGGGAGCAAACAGG
rnacentral:rRNA from 1 species